CAGAGGGUGCGAACGUUGCUCGGAAUUACUGGGCGUAAAGCGCAUGUAGGCGGGUCUGCAAGUCAGAUGUGAAAUCCCCGGGCUCAACCCGGGAACUGCAUCUGAAACUGCAGGCCUUGAGUACUGGAGAGGGUGGCGGAAUUCCUGGUGUAGAGGUGAAAUUCGUAGAUAUCAGGAGGAACACCGGUGGCGAAGGCGGCCACCUGGACAGUAACUGACGCUGAGAUGCGAAAGCGUGGGGAGCAAACAGGAUUAGAUACCCUGGUAGUCCACGCCGUAAACGAUGGGUGCUAGGUGUCUCGGGUAUUGACCCCUGAGGUGCCGUAGCUAACGCGUUAAGCACCCCGCCUGGGAAGUACGGUCGCAAGACUA
rnacentral:rRNA from 1 species